CUCUCUGGUGUAGAACUUAACGGCGAAACCACGAAUAUCCCUCAUGGUUUCAGGGCUGGCACGCUCGUGAACGACGGUGGAGAAACGGACGAUAACGGGAGUUUGAACACCAGGUGCUCGGAGAAAAUCAGCACAGGUGAGGUUUGAAAUGUCAUGGGUGACCUCAAAGAAACCCUUGGCACUGAUUCCUCUGGCAUGAACCACUCUCUCAGGAAUCCUUUCUCUGGUGAAAUUCGCAACUUUCUCGAUCAGAUGGUAGUCUUCGAGAAGAACCGGACCUGCC
rnacentral:lncRNA from 1 species